CCAGCCAGGGCCCAGAUUCACUAACGCCUCGCAGAUACGACAAUCUUAAGUGGAUCCAAUAUGGCGGAAAUAAGAAUGUCGUAUCUUGCGAUUCCCAAAAGAAUCUUAAGUCCGCCAUGUUUAGAUUUUCCUGCCUUAACGCUGUUUCACACUCCCGCCGACAGACGGCGUAGUAUGAUGUUGACAUAUUUCGUUCAACCAAUGGCAGCGCUCGAUACAUACGUACUCUAGAGACAGUAGCCAAUCACCACCAGUGCAGCACGUGGCCCGUGACAGAGGCAGGCGAUGUUGUCUGCCCCACCGGGAGUACGGAGAUGAAGUGAGGAAGUUCAGGAGACUGAGUGUAACCUGUAAGUGUAGUGGGUGCUACAACACCUAGCAGCCCAUAUGUCCCAGCAGUGGUGCAGCGUCGGACCCUUAAACUUCCAGGCAGGAGACACAAGAUAAAAGAUUCUGAAGCAAGACCAAGCAUAUAUUACUGGAUAGUUUGCAGAAAUGUGUAGAUUUCCUUGAAUCGUCUCAACCAGAAUGACUGCAAUAGCUGGACCUUUACAGGACUUUGUUGAAUAUUGCAGGGCAUGAAAUUCUGUAUUUCUUAUGCAUCACUAAAGGUCUCUUUUGAUUUCUUCAAACAUGUUUUGUAUUUGCAAUUUAUUUAAUUGUGUUCUGUUGGAAAUAACAUAUAAAAAGAUGUUUAAUAGCAAGCUGUGAAGAAUUGCUCCAAAUAGUACACACCACGGUGCUAUAUGCUUUACAUUUUAUUAAGAGUAUAAUAAGCUCAGCCAUAUUGUCCUGCAGUUAAUUUUUAGUCAGAUAAUUUCUCCCCUUUUUUUACAAUUUAAGUUGUGAUUGUGUUCAUGUAUACCAGCAGCUCUUUCUUUAAUUAUAUUAGUAAAGAAGUUGUUAUUAUAUAUAUGAAGUCAGAUUAAGUGACUUUCAAAAGCAAUAUAAUUAAGUCCAUUUAGCCUGUGUCACUCUCAAAGUUAUACGCCUCCGUGGUCUACUGGUUAGCGUGCCUGGCUUCUACUCCGCAGGCCCGGGUUCGAAUCCCGGCCCAGGCAGUCUGCGUGCAGCUCACCCAGCUGUUCAUCCUCCCUCUUGGGCUGGUCGAUAAAUGGAUAUCUGGGGAAAUCUGGGGAAGGUAAUCUGUGGUAACCCAAAUAUCACACUGGCCCUGUGUCCCGGGGUAAUGGGGGCUCCCUUCCACCACAGUCUCAAGGGCCAAUGUUAGGAAGAUGAGCACCGAGGCCAUGCGCUGCUACUACGUAUCCCCCCAACUUUACUACUCUUACUCUCAAAGUAUAUAAUUGUGUGUUUGUGUGUAUGUGAGUGUGUGUGUGUCACAUCCUGGAAAGCCCAAGACUUCUCUCAAAACUCUGAUGACUCAAGAAAGAGUCUGGCUUCCAGCUAUAUCUUGAGAGCCAACAGUCAUCGUGGAAAUUUUCUAGGUAUAGUGGAAUGUGUUUUGACAGUGGGCAGUGCCAUUGUUUUUGAAGAACUCUACCGAGUUCUUAACGAAACACACCCAUACACCAAUUUGCUCGAUGAUUUCCUUUAUUUUAUUGCCAGUACACUAUUUAACACAUUUAAAUAUUUAAUAAUGUAUAUAUCAAUGCCCACUUUUUCAUUAUGUUCUCAACUUGUGCCAGCAACAUAUGAGUCAGUACUUUAGUAAGGUUAGGUUACAUAAAUGAAAAAAGUGCAUAUUUGAGUUAAAAACAGAAACAGUAUUUUCUUGUCAAUACCCAAAAAAUAACUUGAAUUUCAAGGUGAGAAAGAUUUUUUUUAUAGUCUAUGGACAAAGAACCUUUAUUUUCUGGUUUUAAUGUUGUGCUAUAAGUAGAAAAUGAAGUAAUUAUAUAUUUUUCACUUAACAUGAAAUAAAUAUCAAUAUAUAUAAAUAUUUUGCCUCAACCUAAAAUUAUAAAAUACUUUUUCAAUUCUAGUAGCUAUGAAACUAUGAGUGGGAAUACAACUGGGUGAUGAAUCAAACCUUGACAGGUGUUGCUAGGUUGCUAAUUUACCAGCAAUAGGUUACCAUGAUGAGCACCGAGGCCACACACAGCUAUGCGUAUGCCCCCAACUUCACCCUACCCUUACUAGACACAUCAUCUAUAACACCCAGUAAAACUAGCAUACUAAAUAGUAAAUGUAAUACCUUAAUACAGUAAAUAUCAUUGAGACAAGAAUGAGCCAUGGGAUGACUCAAUUACCAAAAUAUCCAACAAACAUAUAUUGCAUGUUGCAAAGAAUGGGUAAUUGCUUAGCAGGAGCAGUCUAUUUGAGAUGCAAAUUACUUAUUUCCUGUGAUAUGUUAUGAUGCUUUUUAAUGGGGAUCUGUUUAUUACCACAAUAAUUCAGCCAUGAAAGUGCUACAGCAAAUUUACCCCAGAAUUCACUAUAACAAGCUCUGCGGCAUAUAUCGUCCAGCCGUCUUCACUCCCAAAUCUAUUUACAAACUAACAGACUCGUUUUAGCCUAGUGGAUGGUAACCUAACUCUGCUAGAAUUGUAACCUAUGAUUGCCGCUGGGGAUAGUAGCCUAUCGUUACAGAGGAGAGUAAACUGUCAACCCAAGUAUGAGACUCACCAAAUCAACUCUAGUACUUUCAUAAUUGCUUCCUGGUGAUAACUAACUCCACAAAAAAAGACAUGAUAAUUUACCCAGUAAUGAAUAGUUUGUGUCUUAAAAUAGGUCGCUAAAAUCUGCUAAACAAUGGCAAGGGAACACCCAGAAAUAUGUUCAGGGAGAUUGGAGGGCAGAGAAAAAGACAAGAUAAACUUUGGGGGUGCAGGGCCUGAAACCUCAUCAACGGUAAACGGGUGGGGCCCGGCCCAUCAUUGGUUGUGCUAGUGGUCUAAGGUAUUACAAACUACAAAUUAAGACUAAAUUAUUCACCGAGCAUGUAUGAGUACCCACAUUACCCCCUGGUGGAUCUCCGGCGAGCAUUUCAAGCCCUCCAUAUAUAUUAUCACGAGUGUUUACGGCAGGAUAUUUGAUUCAGUAGUGUAGGAGUUCACAGUCACUACAUAUUCAGUGAAUGGUAUUAUAUACGGUUGACACGUCCUUAUAAAGCAAUGUUUUGAUAGCACUGUGACGUUUUGUUCAUUAUUUUGGCAGCGGGUCUUCCUCUUCUUCUUCAUUCCUCCUUGUGUUGUGGAGAAAAUCUGCCCUACGUACGGGUCACGAUACCUUACGCCAUGUCUGGAGCUGCCGUAAAGUUACGGUGCCGGAAGAGUGUCGUAACUGUUUAGUGAAUAGCCCAAAGCAGCCGAAAGUUGCCUUAAGACAUUUUUUGUGACUUACGAACGUCGUAACUCGUUAGUGAAUCCUGGCCCAGGCCUUUAUAUCGGCAGCUCCUGUGAAAAGAAAACAAAACAUGCGGGAAGUCAAUGUUCUCGGGGCAAGAUAUCAUUCCCUACAUCUUUCACGCCACAUGCCCUCCAAGAACUCUUUCACUGCCUCAAUCACUCGUCCACUCGUCUCUCCACUGAGCCCCAGCAGCAGCACCAUCCACUCCCUUCCAGUCCUCCCGUUUACAUCACGUCCCAUCUCGCUCAAAAACACAUGCAUCAUCUUCGUUCUCUCCCUGUCAUACUUCUUGCAUUCCAGCACUACAUGCUGCACAGUCUCGUCCACACCCCUGUCACACAUCUGGCAUACUUUGCUGCGGGACUCAGACCAUCUAUAGUUCCUUGCAUUCACAUCCAGACACUGCGCUC